rnacentral:misc_RNA from 1 species
AAGAAACACAUGUGGUUCACCAUGUGCAAAGAUAAAAUAUCCAAAUUGUAAAUAAAAUUGAACAAAUUAAGUAGCUCACUAGUGAAUAACUGGAUAACCAUGAUUUGCUGUGCAGUUCUGAAAAUCUUGAGUGCGAAAUCGAGCAGACGAAACUCUCCUUCCCACACAGCAGGCGUGAAAAUGUGGCUGCCUACCUCAUUCCUGAAAGAUGGCUAUUAUUUACUGAAAAACGUUCUGAAUCAUUGUUUAGUACAUGUGUUGUUCAUGUUCAGAAUUUUGUUUGGAACAUAUAAACAUGUUGUUACUCUGCCAAGGAUAGAGUAAAAUACUGGAGAUAUGCUCUCUUAAGAUUCUGGAUCAAUUUUACCGUUGUCUUCCAUUUCUGAGCCAAGUUCACCUCCAGAGAUCAUAUUCAUGAAUCUUCUCGUAGCUUGGGUAACAGCAUGAGAAGUCUUCUUUGCUGCUCCAGUUACAACUGGCUGCAAAGAUAUGACUGGAAGAUCUGCUCUUUCCUGAAUCAUUGACAUUGUUUGCUGGUGAGCACGAGACCCAAUUUGUCUGAUUCCAGCUUCUGCUGCUUGCACAGCUCGAGCAGAUUUGUUGACACCAUCAGCUAUCUCUUGACUUAAAUCACUCAAUUCCAGUGUAAGGUCACUGAUUUCCAUCCCAGACAGCCUGAUAGCAGCCAUUGUACUAGGAAGCUCCUCUCGAGCAGUAUCUGCCAACUUUGACAAAGAUAUCGCUGCUCUACGCAUCGCAAACAGUGUUGGCACAGUUGCAACUACCAGACUUGUGAAAGCCACGGAUGUCGUGCAAGCAAUGAAGGUCAAGAGAAAGAAAGCUUGGUCACUUAAGCUUAAUUUGGGAGGGAAAUAAUUCGGUAGAAUUUUAGGGCUUCCGACUUCAAUAUUGAGCGAUUCCGUAACCUGAGGCGACGAAAUUUCUCCAUCUACAGUUUGAUUAUAGGUUUCCGUUCCGGCACCAGCAGAAUCAACUGAAGAUGAUGAUUUGGACGAACAAAUUGUCAGGGAGAAGCUAGAGAUUUUAUACCCG